ACUCCUACGGGAGGCAGCAGUAGGGAAUCUUCCACAAUGGGCGCAAGCCUGAUGGAGCAACACUGCGUGAGUGAAGAAGGGUUUCGGCUCGUAAAGCUCUGUUGUUAAAGAAGAACACGUAUGAGAGUAACUGUUCAUACGUUGACGGUAUUUAACCAGAAAGCCACGGCUAACUACGUGCCAGCAGCCGCGGUAAUACGUAGGUGGCAAGCGUUAUCCGGAUUUAUUGGGCGUAAAGAGAGUGCAGGCGGUUUUCUAAGUCUGAUGUGAAAGCCUUCGGCUUAACCGGAGAAGUGCAUCGGAAACUGGAUAACUUGAGUGCAGAAGAGGGUAGUGGAACUCCAUGUGUAGCGGUGGAAUGCGUAGAUAUAUGGAAGAACACCAGUGGCGAAGGCGGCUACCUGGUCUGCAACUGACGCUGAGACUCGAAAGCAUGGGUAGCGAACAGGAUUAGAUACCCUGGUAGGAUAGCG
rnacentral:rRNA from 1 species